rnacentral:misc_RNA from 1 species
AAAAAAAAAAAAAAAAAAAUGGAACUUAAAAUCUUUUCUGGAGAUAUCCAUUUUCCGGGAGAGACAGAUAAAAUAUCCCGACACAGUGGUAUCUUAAUGCCACCAGGAACGGUAAAAACAAAUUCUAAGGAAUCAAAAAAAGUGAAAAAUUGGAUCUAUAUCCAACGAAUCACACCUACCAAGAAAAAGUAUUUUGUUUUGGUUCGACCAGUAAUCAUAUAUGAGAUAGCGAACGGUAUAAAUUUAGAAACACUUUUCCCCCAGGAUCUAUUGCAGGAAAAGGAUAAUCUGAAACUUCGAGUUGUCAAUUAUAUUCUUUAUGGGACUGGUAAACCCAUUCGGGGAAUUUCUGACACAAGUAUUCAAUUAGUUCGUACUUGUUUAGUGUUGAAUUGGGACCAAGACAAAAAAAGUUCUUCUAUCGAAGAGGCCCGCGCUUUUUUUGUUGAAAUAAGCACAAAUGGUCUGAUUCGUGAUUUCCUAAGAAUCAACCUAGUGAAAUCCCAUAUUUCAUAUAUCGGUAGAAAAAGGAAUGAUCCAUCAGGUUCAGAACUGAUCUCUAAUAAUGGGUCAGAUCGCACCAAUAUUAAUCCAUUUUAUCCCAUUUAUUCCAAGACAAGGAUUCAACAAUCACUUAAACAAAAUCAAGGAACUAUUAGUACGUUGUUGAAUAGAAAUAAGGAAUGUAAAUCUUUGAUAAUUUUGUCAUCAUCUAAUUGUUUUCGAAUGGAUCCAUUCAACGAUGUAAAACAUCACAAUGGAAUAAAAGAAUCAAUUAAAAGAGAUCCUAUAAUUCCAAUUAGAAAUUCGUUGGGCCCUUUAGGAACAGCCCUUCAAAUUUCGAAUUUUUAUUUAUUUUACCAUUUUAAUUUAAUAUUAAUAACUCAUAAUCAGAUCUCGGUAACUAAAUAUUCGAAACUUGACAAUUUAAAACAGACUUUUCAAGUACUUAAAUAUUAUUUAAUGGAUGAAAACGGGAGAAUUGUUAAUCCCGAUCCAUGCAGUAACAGCGUUUUGAAUCCAUUCAAUUUGAAUUGGUAUUUUCUCCAUCAUAAUUAUUGUGAAGAAAGAUUCACAAUAAUUAGCCUGGGACAGUUUAUUUGUGAAAAUUUAUGUAUGGCCAAAAAGGGACCACAUCUAAAAUCGGGUCAAGUUAUAAUUGUUCACAUUGACUCUGUAGUAAUAAGAUCCGCUAAGCCUUAUUUGGCCACUCCAGGAGCAACCGUUCAUGGCCAUUAUGGAGAAAUCCUUUACGAAGGAAAUACAUUAGUUACAUUUAUAUAUGAAAAAUCGAGAUCUGGUGAUAUAACGCAGGGUCUUCCAAAAGUGGAACAAGUGUUAGAAGUGCGUUCAAUUGAUUCAAUAUCAAUAAACCUAGAAAAGAGAGUGGAGGGUUGGAACGAGUGUAUAACAAGAAUUCUGGGAAUUCCUUGGGGAUUCUUGAUUGGUACUGAGCUAACUAUAGUGCAAAGUCGUAUCUCUUUAGUUAAUAAGAUCAAAAAGGUUUAUCGAUCCCAAGGGGUGCAGAUCCAUAAUAGGCAUAUAGAAAUUAUUGUACGUCAAAUAACAUCAAAAGUAUUGGUUUCAGAAGACGGAAUGUCUAAUGUUUUUUUACCCGGAGAACUAAUUGGAUUGUUGCGAGCGGAACGAACGGGACGCGCUUUGGAAGAAGCCAUCUGUUACGGGGCCAUAUUAUUGGGAAUAACGCGAGCAUCUCUGAAUACUCAAAGUUUCAUAUCCGAGGCUAGUUUUCAAGAAACUACUCGCGUUUUAGCAAAAGCUGCUCUCCGCGGUCGUAUCGAUUGGUUGAAAGGCCUGAAAGAAAACGUUGUUCUAGGCGGUAUGAUACCCGUUGGUACCGGAUUCAAAGGAUUAGUGCAAGGCUCAAGGCAACAUAAGAACAUUCCUUUGAAAACCAAAAAGAAGCAUUUAUUCGAGGGGGAAUUUAGAGAUAGAGAUAUUUUAUUCCACUACAGAGAGUUAUUUGAUUCUUGCAUUUCAAAAAAUUUCUAUGAUACAUCAGAACAACCAUUUAUAGGAUUUAAUGAUUCCUAAGAGCGGAUUCAUCCUUUUAUUUUAUUUAUUUUAAUUAAAUUUAUUUUAAUUAAUCGCGGUCCUGUGAUUUGGAUUUGUUACAUGUGAUUUGUUAAUAGUAAUAAAGAAAGUAAAGAAUAGAAAGAAAUUAAUCGCUUGGAUCGUAUAUCAACGUCCAAUCUCCGGGAAAAGAGAAGGUUCCAUCGGAACAAUUAUUUAUUUCAGGGUACCCCGUCUCUCUUUUUCUUUUUUUCCAAGAAAAAAGAAAAAGAGAGAGAGGAAGUGUGGGGAGAAAUGAUAAGAAGAUAUUGGAACAUUAAUUUGGAAGAGAUGAUGAAAGCAGGAGUUCAUUUUGGUCAUGGUACUAGAAAAUGGAAUCCGAGAAUGGCACCUUAUAUCUCUGCAAAGCGUAAAGGUAUUCAUAUUAUAAAUCUUACUAGAACUGCUCGUUUUUUAUCAGAAGCUUGUGAUUUAGUUUUUGAUGCAGCAAGUAGGAGAAAACAAUUCUUAAUUGUUGGUACCAAAAAUAAAGCAGCGGAUUUAGUAGCGCGGGCUGCAAUAAGGGCUCGGUGUCAUUAUGUUAAUAAAAAAUGGCUCGGCGGUAUUUUAACGAAUUGGUCCACUACAGAAACUAGACUUCAAAAGUUCAGGGACUUGAGAAUGGAACAAAAGACAGGUAGACUCAACCGUCUUCCGAAAGGAGAUGCGGCUCGAUUGAAGAGACAGUUAACUCACUUGCAAACAUAUCUGGGCGGGAUUAAAUAUAUGACGGGGUUACCCGAUAUUGUAAUAAUCGUUGAUCAGCAAGAAGAAUAUACGGCUCUUCGGGAAUGUAUGACUUUGGGAAUUCCAACAAUUUGUUUAAUUGAUACAAACUGUGACCCGGAUCUCGCAGAUAUUUCGAUUCCAACGAAUGAUGACGCUAUAGCUUCAAUCCGAUUAAUUCUUAAUAAAUUAGUAUUUGCAAUUUGUGAGGGUCAUUCUAGCUAUAUACGAAAUCCCUGAUUAGGAAUAAGUAAGAUAGAUUAAAUAAGAUAACUAAAUUAUUUUGUGAACUCCAUAGAUUUAUGGAAUCGGUUACUAUUCCUGAAUCAUACAAAAGAGAUAAAAUAACUGGGUAUAUUAUGUGAUUUGUUGGUAUCUAAAAUAUACAAUUUAAGUGGACAAGUCGAAAAAAAAAGAUGGUUGAAUCAAAAUAAUUCCUUUUAAAGUUUUCUUUCUUUCAGAGGGCAAUAUGAAUGUUCUAUCAUGUUCCAUCAACACACUAACACUAAAGGGGUUAUAUGAUAUAUCCGGUGUGGAAGUAGGCCAGCAUUUCUAUUGGAAAAUAGGAGGUUUCCAAGUCCAUGCCCAAGUGCUUAUUACUUCUUGGGUUGUAAUUGCUAUCUUAUUAGGUUCAGCCAUUGUAGCUGUUCGGAAUCCACAAACCAUUCCAACAGGAGGUCAGAAUUUCUUCGAAUACGUCCUUGAAUUCAUUCGAGAUGUGAGCAAAACUCAGAUUGGAGAGGAAUAUGGCCCGUGGGUCCCCUUUAUUGGAACUAUGUUUCUAUUUAUUUUUGUUUCUAAUUGGGCGGGGGCGCUUUUACCUUGGAAGAUCAUACAGUUACCUCACGGGGAGUUAGCCGCACCGACGAAUGAUAUAAAUACUACCGUUGCUUUAGCUUUACUUACGUCAAUAGCCUAUUUUUAUGCGGGCCUUAGCAAAAAAGGAUUAGGUUAUUUCAGUAAAUACAUUCAACCAACUCCAAUCCUUUUACCCAUUAACAUUUUAGAAGAUUUCACAAAACCUUUAUCACUUAGCUUUCGACUUUUCGGCAAUAUAUUAGCGGAUGAAUUAGUAGUUGUUGUUCUUGUUUCUUUAGUACCUUUAGUGGUUCCUAUACCUGUCAUGUUCCUUGGAUUAUUUACAAGUGGUAUUCAAGCUCUUAUUUUUGCAACUUUAGCUGCGGCUUAUAUAGGCGAAUCCAUGGAGGGGCAUCAUUGACUAAUUUUAUUUUCGAAAUAGUCUUUUUUAGCUUAGUGUAAGGCAAUCUAUGCCUUGUUCAAGAUAAUCUACUUCUACUUAGUGAACAUAAAUAUACACAUAAAUAGAAAUAGACAAAAAGGUCUAUAUGAUCUAAAGAAAUAGUAAAAAAAAGAUUACGAUAUUAAGGAAUUGUAAAAAAAAAAAGGAAAGAGAUCUAAAAGAUCUUUUUCCUAGAAUUCGUUUGGAUAAUUUAUACCUUCUUCUAAUGAAUAUUCUCUUUAUAUUGUCUUGAUUAUUUUGUCCAAUUUUAGGACUCAUAAUCUGAAUAAGAAUCCUUUAUUUGUUUACAACGUGUGAUUAAAAAAAGAGGUUCUAUAGAGCGAUUUCCAUUUCAGUCGGUUUUAUUCAAUUCAACGAUUGACCAAAAGAAAACAUUAAUAAAUAAUAAAUUACAUGAACUUAGAGUAACCAAUAUAUUUCUAUGCAAUGAUUCAGACUAAUGAAUUCGUCCAUUUAGAUUGAUUGUAUCCAUGCGGGAUAAUGAUAAGGAAGAGAAGAAUUUACAAAAAAUGAGAUUCAGAAAAAAUGGAUUGUUUAGGAGGGUGGAAUCAAACUAGGUGUAUGUAAUAUAUCUAGGUGUAUGUAAUAUAUAUAUAAUUAUUAUGUAAUAUAUAAUGGCUAUGGCUAUAAGCCAACUUUCUUUUUGUGAAUGUUUCAAAAAAUGAUUUUAGAAUCCGAUUGAAUCUAAGAUACGAAUAGUUGGUUUACGUUAUGGAAAGGGACGUGUAUAUGGAAUAUUAAGUAUUAACUAGUUAUAUAUGAGUUAAAAGAUAUAUCUAAUCUGCCCGACUACUGGAGAUUUAGAUAGGGAUUCCAAUAAAAGUCCUUUCUUUUCGUUUGUAACUGUGAAUUGAAUAUUGAAUAAACAGAUUAAAUCAAGAAAAAGAACGAAGAGUUCGAAUUCAAAAACUGAUUCGUAACAAAGAAAGAAAUGGAAAAACAAAAAAGUUGUAUGAAUUCACAAAAACUUUGUGAAUAGGAACUCAAAAAUAGAUAUCAAAGUAGUUCUGAUGAUUCAAUAAUAUUAUUGCUUCAAUUCGGAGUUCUUUGUUACUUCGACUGGAUGAAAAUCUUAUUGAUGGGAUGAAUAAUUAAGUCAUAAUUUAUUGGUUGAUUGUAUCAUUAACCAUUUCUUUAUUUUAUUUUGGUGCGAGGAACUUAUCAUGAAUCCAUUGAUUUCUGCCGCUUCCGUUAUUGCUGCUGGGUUGGCCGUUGGGCUUGCUUCUAUUGGACCUGGGGUUGGUCAAGGUACUGCCGCGGGCCAAGCUGUAGAAGGUAUCGCAAGACAACCCGAGGCGGAGGGAAAAAUACGAGGUACUUUAUUGCUUAGUCUGGCUUUUAUGGAAGCUUUAACGAUUUAUGGACUAGUUGUAGCAUUAGCACUGUUAUUUGCGAAUCCUUUUGUUUAAUCUAUAAAAAAAAAAUACGUAUUUUUUUAUUGCCUUGGACUCGCUGCUUGUUUUUUCGAAUUACGAAUUAUAUUAAGGAUUUAAUUCCUACAAUUACUUAUUUAUUUUUAUUGGGACAAUAACCCACGGGAAGGACUGAUUUGAGGAUGAAGAAUUAGUAUACUAACUCGCUUUUUUCCUUCCCCCUUCUUAGUCCAAUCGAAACCUUUUUUUUAAGGAAAUGUUGCAACAGGCAUUUUUGUUUUGCAAUUAAUACGAGACCUGUUACCGAAUUCCCGAAUUCUAAACUGAAUUUUAAUAAGAAUAAUAUUUAUUAGUAUUAGAGAUUUCAAAUUUCAAAUUGAAAAAAAAAAUGCAUUUAUAAUUCAAAUAUAAAUCGAAUAUUUUUUUUA